rnacentral:rRNA from 1 species
UGCAAGUCGAGCGGAACGACUUAUCUGAACCUUCGGGGAACGUUAACGGCGUCGAGCGGCGGACGGGUGAGUAAUGCCUAGGAAAUUGCCUUGAUGUGGGGGAUAACCAUUGGAAACGAUGGCUAAUACCGCAUAAYGCCUACGGGCCAAAGAGGGGGACCUUCGGGCCUCUCGCGUCAAGAUAUGCCUAGGUGGGAUUAGCUAGUUGGUGAGGUAAUGGCUCACCAAGGCGACGAUCCCUAGCUGGUCUGAGAGGAUGAUCAGCCACACUGGAACUGAGACACGGUCCAGACUCCUACGGGAGGCAGCAGUGGGGAAUAUUGCACAAUGGGCGAAAGCCUGAUGCAGCCAUGCCGCGUGUAUGAAGAAGGCCUUCGGGUUGUAAAGUACUUUCAGUUGUGAGGAAGGGGGUGUCGUUAAUAGCGGCAUCUCUUGACGUUAGCAACAGAAGAAGCACCGGCUAACUCCGUGCCAGCAGCCGCGGUAAUACGGAGGGUGCGAGCGUUAAUCGGAAUUACUGGGCGUAAAGCGCAUGCAGGUGGUUCAUUAAGUCAGAUGUGAAAGCCCGGGGCUCAACCUCGGAACUGCAUUUGAAACUGGUGAACUAGAGUACUGUAGAGGGGGGUAGAAUUUCAGGUGUAGCGGUGAAAUGCGUAGAGAUCUGAAGGAAUACCAGUGGCGAAGGCGGCCCCCUGGACAGAUACUGACACUCAGAUGCGAAAGCGUGGGGAG